UACGGAGGGUGCAAGCGUUAUCCGGAUUUACUGGGUUUAAAGGGUGCGCAGGCGGAUAUGUAAGUCAGUGGUGAAAUCUUUGGGCUUAACCCGAAAAUUGCCGUUGAUACUAUAUAUCUUGAAUGCUGUGGAGGUAAGCAGAAUAUGUCAUGUAGCGGUGAAAUGCUUAGAGAUGACAUAGAAUACCUAUUGCGAAGGCAGCUUACUACGCAGAUAUUGACGCUCAUGCACGAAAGCGUGGGGAUCACACAGG
rnacentral:rRNA from 1 species